AAUGGGCGAAAGCCUGACGGAGCAAUGCCGCGUGUGGGAUGAAGCGCUUCGGCGUGUAAACCACUGUCAGGUCCUAGGAACACUGACCAGGACCAGAGGAAGGGCCGGCUAACCUCGUGCCAGCAGCCGCGGUAAGACGAGGGGCCCAAGCGUUAAUCGGAAUCACUGGGCUUAAAGGGUGCGCAGGCGGAUUGGAAAGCAUCUUGUGAAAGCCCCCGGCUCAACCGGGGAAUUGCAGGGUGAACUUCCAGUCUUGAGACAGGUAGGGGCAGAUGGAACUGUCGGUGGAGCGGUGAAAUGCGUAGAUAUCGACAGGAACGCCAAUGGCGAAGGCAGUCUGCUGGGCCUGUUCUGACGCUCAGGCACGAAAGCGUGGGGAGCAAACAGGAUU
rnacentral:rRNA from 1 species